UGGUGCUGUUCGUGGAAGGUUCCGGCAAGUCCGAGGUGAAGCAGACAUUCUAACUCUUCCAUCCUUCAUAUCUCGACCUUGGGCAUCAUCCUAACAUGUCGAUUCUUUGUUUUUCUAAGCCGGAGUACGCAUCUGGUCGGAGCUCCGCCCAACUCCGGCGACGCAUCACGGUCACCAGAGGACGGUUCCGAGCGCGUUUUGGUGUUCAGCAAGUUUUCCUCGACUUCCUCUACUCCGUCCACCUCUCUUUCGUUGCCGAAGACAUCCGCAUCAUCGAGCGAGAGCACGCCAAGUUUGUUGUCCAUCGCCGGCCAACUCCUCCGGUGAGGCCAGCCCUCUUUCUGUAAAAAAAAACCGAAAUAGUAUUAGCCUAUUGAAUUCUGCCACGUUGCGACUCUUUUUCUUACCUCGCUUCUUUUCCAGAAAUUUAGCCCAACUUAGAAAAAUCACAUCUUUUAAACCGCUUAUCCAAAUUUGACAAAUAAGAUAUCCCUGGAUAGCUGAGGACCUCUAGUUUAUUAUAAAAAAAUUGAAAUAUCACUUUUACGCUAAUUAAAAUUUCGUUUUGAUUUAAAUGAUAAUUUGAGUAUUUUUACUGAAUCUUUUAUUCUGUGAGUGAUAUGAAAAAGUUUUACAUAUGAAAAUUGGUUCUUGGAAUCAUACCAAUCUGCUAGAACUCAUAGAAUAUUUUUUUAGUAAGGUUUAGUUACUGUUUUAGCACAAUACAUAAUUUUGACCUUCAUUGAUUAUCGUUUAAUAAACUCGUUAAACUAAAAAAAAUCAUUGUUAAAACCAUUAGAUUUAUCCGUAGAAAACCUUUCUGGUUAGUUGUUGUCGUCAUAAAAAUUUAGAGUUAUAGGAUUAUUAAUUAGUUUAUUAACAUGAACUAUAAACCAUACAUAGGAACCGAUCAAAGUGCAUAAACUCGAAUCAUAUGGAUAUACUGGCUAGGGUUGUUUGGCAUGAAUUGUGUGUUGGAUGGUUUUUCUUGCUCACUUGUUAUGUUAAUGUUUGAUAUGUGGAGUGACUUACUUAAGUACUUUGUUGCGUUAGAUUGCGACGAGUGCGAAGGCGAAUUCUACGAGGAGGUAGAACCGGGUUGCUGCGAGUCAGAAGGCAAGUUGCAACCUUGACCAUAUUUAUCCCGUGUUUAAUUUUGCAUUGACUUUCAAAGCAAGUAGUAUGCAUGUGUAGGGUUUUAUAUCGUUGUUUUUGCAAAUAUUUGCUAGUAGUAAAGCCCUAGGAUCCAAUGCUAUUGGACUAUACACUUAGCCAUGCUUGUAGUUGGGGGUGGACCAAAUAUUUUGAAAAUUAUAAACUUGUUCCCUUGGAACAAUGAUUUAGAAAAUAUUUUGAAAAAGCAAAAACUAUAUUAUUAUUUUUUUACUUCUACUCCCUGGACAGAAUGGUAUGACGGGAGCGUCUACAAGUGAUUGCGUCCAUCGGGGUCUUGCAGUGAAUGCGCUCGACUGGGGUCUUGCACACAGGAUUUUGGUGGGGACCGCCGUCCAGGGGAAUGAGAUCUUCCAAGUACGGUUUGAUGUAGCUUCCAGUACAGCCACAUGCUACUAUGGGCUCUGCCUUGGCUUAGUACUAACGGGAAACCCUUACCUCAGGACCGCCAUCGGAGAGGGGCUUUCAUUGCCUAAGUUGCGGGCGGCUUGGUCAGGUAUAGGGGGCUGUUACGGAAAGGCUUCGUCACAAUCUCCUCCUAGUCGUACACCCAAGUGUGUAGCGGUGAACGGGGUUGGUUGUGUCAUGUGGGGAACGUGUACGACCUCUGCAGAGGGUUUAACCUAAUCGAUUAGCCGUGCCCCCGGUUACGGAGCAAUUUUGAGCAACUGAAGACUUGGACUGAAGAAGAAUCUCCCCUCUCUUUUCUCAAAGCUAUUUUAUAAAGGGUUAGGUGGAAGUUAAACACAGUGGGGUGUUUUACUUCAACCUGAAGGAGAAAAUUAUUUUUUUUUGUGAAUCUUGGUGCGGAUAUCCAAGUAUUCACUUAAACUCUAUGUUUUAAAAAAAUGUUUAUCAAAACUCAUUUUAUUUAUUUUGUUUAUAUUCUAGGGAAAAAAUGGCUUUUCGCAAAUAAACCCUAGACACCAACCCAGCAAGAAUAUUUGUUAUCACUCUUGUUGCAACUUGCGAGUACAUUCAAAGUACUUACCUGUACGUGUCAUGUGCAGAUGAUGAGUGACGAGUUAGGGCUACGGAGCUACACUUAACUAGCCUUGUGGCGAUUGAUGGGCUCGGGAUUAUUAUUAUGUUAUUUGCUUCCGCUAUGUAACUCAGCCUUCAGCUGAGAGAGUUGUAAUAAAUUGAACUUUGGAACUUCGAUGUAAUAAAAGGACGUGUGUGCUCGAUAUUCAUAUUUGUACUGGGUGUGCUAGCUUUUGAUCCAGGGAUAGCAUAGAAAGCUCAGAACAUUUGGACCCCAUGGGUUCAGAUCGUUACAAAAUGGUAUCAGAGCCUUACGUUGACUGUAGGACGUGGUCCUAAAAAUGGAGUAGAAUAGGAGACCUAGGAAAAGAUUAUUUAUUAGUUAUUUACUAGGAAUACUCGUAUUCUAUUCUAUUCUUUGCUGAACCUCUCCUAAUUUCAAACUUGUAGAUGGAGCACCAAGUUUUGCGUGAAGCUAAGGACUUUCAGGGUAUCCUUUUUGGCUCCUUGUUCUUGGCACUGCUUGAGGUGCUGAAGUUGCCGAUACCUGAAGUCAAAGUGUGGUGCAAGGAGGGAGGAAGCUACUGGAACCUUUGCGUCCAUGUUCCGGGACGCAAGAAGCCAAAAACUAAGGACAUCUCCAUCUUGGACAUUGCCACGACGAAGAAACAAGCAAUCAACAAAGCCAUGCAUGAGGUGGUGACUAGACUUACCUACCUAUAUCAAGAAGAGUUGCAUCGGCUAGGAGUCCAGACCUUUGGAAAGCGAACCGCCACCGAUGAGUUCCCGUGAAGAUGCUCAAUAGGACAAACGUGGACUUGCAAACCGCACACAUAUUCAGCCUGGAGCGUUACAUCCACAAUUUGGAGGGAAGCUUGGUGGAUUCUCUUCAGAAGGUCAAGCAACAACAUGCGGAAAUUGACACGCACGACGACAUGGAGUACAAGUUCGAGACUCAAGAGUUUGAGAUGGAACAAGUACGUGAAGAUGCAGAUGAGCAACGAGCAAGGGUUAAAACCCUGGAGAAGGAGAACCUAGAGUUGCGGGAAGAGCUGCGAAAGAUGAAGGCCCGAGAAGUGGUGACGGAUGAUAGGAUUUAUAAGCUCCGCAAAGAGAGGGAGUACUGGAAAACCCAGUAUGAGGAAGCCCUUGAUAGAGGAGCGGAACUUCAGGAAGUGGGAGAAAAUGGUCCCUUCAUCAGCAAUGAUAAUGAAUGGGACGGUACUAUGACCAUGGCAGCUGAAUCACGCAUCGGUCUGAGUUAGAAUUGACCACCAUGUUGAAUAAACGUGUUUCGGUAGAGUACUUGACCGUACCAGAGGUUGUGGGCGGCAGUACCUAGGCUCGUUUGAAUAAGUGGACUAUGUGUGACUGCCAUGAAUUGCUUGAGAUCUGUUGUGUUGCAUUUUUUUGUGUAUACAUGGGGGUAGCUAUAUACUUAGGAUUUCUAUCUUCCAUUCCUCUACCUUAUCUUGGAACCUCGUCAAACAGAUGCCACCGAGACGUGCACCAUCCGGAGGCAACAACAACAACAUACCGCCUAGCAUGGAGCAGUUACUGCAGGCGCAGACACAACUUAUCCAGCUUCUGACUCAGAACAUGCAGAACAACAACAACGCUGGGGGACCGCCACCACCACCUCCACCACCUCCCGUAGACAGACUUACCCGGUUCUUGAGGCUGCGACCUCCAACAUUCUCCAGUUCCUCUGAGCCCAUGGUUGCAGAUGAUUGGCUCCGGUCCAUUGCCAGGAAGCUUGAUACUGCUCAAUGCACUGAGGUUGAGAAGGUGCGCUUUGCCACACAUCAGCUGGAAGGUCCCGCAGCUGCUUGGUGGGACAACUACCUGAUUACCUACCCCAAUGUUGAUGCCAUUACUGCAAUUCAGGACUGCCUUCCGCAAUGUCCAUGUUCCAGCCGGAGCAGUGGCUCUAAACAAGAAGGAAUUUCGUGCACUUCGCCAACGUUCCCUUUCUGUGAAUGAGUAUUGGGAGGAGUUCAACCAGCUUGCACGCUAUGCACCUGAUGAUGUGGCGACAGAUGCAGCUAGACAAGAGAAGUUUCUGGAAGGGCUGAAUGAUGAGUUAUCUUUUCAGUUGAUGGCUCUCACCUUCAACAGUUGUCAGGCUCUUUUUGACAAGGCUCUUAUCCUGGAGGGAAAACAGAGGGAGAUAGAAAGCCGCAAGAGGAAGAGCAACUUUCAUAAGCACAACUCCAACUCAUCUCAGAAGCUUCGCACCUCAUCCCCACCAAGGCACUAUGGUUCUUAUUCCAAGCCUAGCGGUAAUUCCUAUCAAGGCAAUCGUUCACAUAACCAUAGUGGCUCUAACCAUAGUCAUCAGCAUCAUCACAAGGAAAAUCAUCAUGAUGGUCACAAGCAUCAUAGUGGCAAUGGAGGUCAUAGCCAUGACAGGCACAAAAAGGACUUAAGUCAAGUUACCUGUUACAAGUGCCAGAAACCUGGACAUUAUGCCAAUGACUGCACAGAGAAGAAAGCAAGCAGUAAUGGAAAUGGCUCAAAGCCUAAUCCUUUCGUGAAGGCCAAGGUGAAUCACAUCUCUGUAGAGGAAGCUCAGGAUUCACCCGAUGCAGUGAUCGGUACGUUUCGAGUUAAUUCCAUUCCCGCACUUGUGUUAUUUGAUACUGGUGCAUCACAUUCGUUCAUCUCAAAAGCAUUUGUGGAUAAGCAUGGGUUAGCCACCAGGACUCUUAGUAACCCCUUAGUAGUGUCUUCACCGGGGGCAGAAAUGAGAAGUAGCAAGGGAUGCUUUGACCUAUCCUUGACCUUGGGAAGUUCCACACUCCCCGCAAAUCUUAUUGUCUUGGAACUCGGAAGGGUUGGACGUGAUCUUAGGCAUGGACUGGUUAGUCACAUAUAAAGGAAGUAUCAACUGUGCCGAGAGGUCUAUUUCUCUCAGCAACUUGGAAGGGAAACGAUUCAAAAUCAUCUGCAAGAGCAAGCCAAAGGCAUCCAUGCUCAACUCUCUUAAAGUGGCCAGCCUAGAAAAAGUCCCAGUUGUACGGGAGUACCCAGACAUAUUUCCCGAGGAUCUACCUAGAAUGCCACCUGAUAGAGACAUUGAGUUUGUAAUUGACUUGAUUCCUGGUACAGCACCUAUGUCUAAGAGACCAUAUAGGUUGCCCGCACAUGAGCUUGCAGAACUUAAGAAGCAGAUUCGUGAGUUGCAAGAAAAGGGGUUUAUUCGUCCAAGUUCUUCACCAUGGGGGGCUCCAAUCCUAUUUGUGAAGAAGAAGGAUGGUAGCUUCAGAAUGUGUGUGGACUAUCGUUCCCUUAAUGAGGUCACCAUCAAGAAUAAGUACCCGCUACCCAUGAUCAAUGAUCUAUUUGAUCAGCUUCAAGGGGCAAAGAUCUUCUCAAAGAUCGAUUUAUGAUCUGGUUACCACCAGUUGAAAAUCAGAGAGCAGGAUAUACCCAAGACAGCUUUUCGCACAAGAUAUGGACUGUAUGAGUUCACGGUUAUGUCAUUUGGUCUGACCAAUGCCCCAGCAUACUUCAUGCAUAUGAUGAAUAAGGUAUUCAUGGAAUUCCUUGACAAGUUUGUCGUUGUAUUCAUCGAUGAUAUUCUUGUAUUUUCCAAGAACGAGAAGGAGCACGAGGAACAUCUUCGCCAAGUGUUGGAAAAGCUAAGAGAGCAUAAGUUGUAUGCCAAGUUUAGUAAAUGUGAGUUUUGGCUGAAGGAAGUGGGAUUCCUAGGACACGUUGUCUCUGGAGAUGGAGUAGCAGUUGAUCCCGCUAAAGUUGAGGCCGUCACCAGUUGGAAGUCACCUACUUCAGUUGCUGAGAUUCGUAGUUUCCUUGGACUUGCUGGAUAUUACCGUAGAUUCAUUGAGAAUUUCUCCAAGAUUGCUAGGCCUAUGACUGAGUUGCUUAAGAAGGAGAAGAAGUUCCAGUGGACCGAGGCAUGUGAAGCCAGCUUUCAAGAGCUUAAAGAGAAGUUAGUCACAGCCCUAGUGCUGAUUUUACCAGAUAUUCAUAAGGACUUUCAGGUCUAUUGUGAUGCUUCACGGCAAGGACUUGGAGGUGUACUUAUGCAGGAUGGCAAGGUAGUAGCUUAUGCAUCACGUCAUCUUAGGCCGCAUGAGCUUAACUAUCCUACUCAUGACCUAGAGUUAGCUGCAGUGGUACAUGCCCUCAAGACUUGGAGACACUAUCUUAUAGGGAAUCAUUGUGACAUUUUCACGGAUCACAAGAGUUUGAAAUAUAUCUUCACUCAGAAGGAGCUUAAUCUGAGGCAAAGGAGAUGGUUAGAACUUAUUCAUGAUUAUGACUUGAGUAUAAAUUAUCAUCCAGGCAAGGCAAAUGUUGUCGCAGACGCAUUGAGUCGUAAGGGGCAUCUCAACUACCUCACCGCUCAUGUUGUCUCACCCCACUUGCUUGAAGAAUUUAGUCAGUUAAACAUGGAAGUUGUGCCUAAAGGGUUCUUAGCCACCUUGGAGGUCAAAUCCACAUUGUUGGAGAGAAUCAAGGAAGCACAGAAGGAUGAUAAGGAAUUAGAUAAGAUUCGUGACUGAAUCCAUCAAGGAAAAUCCGAGGACUUCACAGAGGAUGAACAUGGAACACUUUGGUUUGAGUCACGUAUUUGCGUACCUAGCAAUGAGGACAUUAAGAGGAUGAUUCUGCAGGAGGCACAUGAUUCUCCAUACUCUAUUCACCUAGGCAGCACUAAGAUGUAUCUUGAUUUGAAAGAGCAAUUUUGGUGGCCAAAUAUGAAGCGAGAGAUAGCAGAAUAUAUUGCCAUCUGUGAUGUAUGUCAGCGAGUCAAGGCUGAACAUCAGAAGCCAGCAGGGUUACUUCCACCAUUACCGAUACCCGAUUGGAAGUGGGACAAAAUCGGUAUGGACUUUAUCAUCGGUUUGCCACGGACUCGAUCUAGAUAUGACUCCAUUUGGGUAAUUGUGGACCGCUUGACAAAGGUUGCUCACUUCAUUCCCGUGAAGACGACCUAUACCAGUGCUAAGUUGGCCAAGAUUUACAUGACACAGGUUGUAUGCUUACAUGGUGUACCCCGAAAGAUUGUGUCAGACCGAGGCACUCAAUUUACCUCAAAAUUCUGGCACCAGCUCCAUGAGUCACUUGGAACCAGGCUUGAGUUCAGCACGACAUUUCAUCCGCAGACGAACGGACAAACCGAGAGGGUUAAUCAGAUUUUGGAGGACAUGUUACGUGCAUGUGCACUUGACUAUGGUUCUAGUUGGGAUGACAAUUUGCCAUAUGCUGAGUUCUCCUAUAAUAACAGCUAUCAAGCCAGUCUGAAGAUGGCACCGUUCGAGGCGCUCUAUGGCAGGAAGUGUAGAACCCCUUUGAUGUGGAGCGAAGUGGGUGAACAUCAACUCUUUGGACCAGACUUAAUUCGAGAUGCCGAAGAGAAGGUCAAGUUGAUCAAGGACCGACUGAAGAUCGCCCAGUCUCGUCAAAAGAGUUAUGCGGAUACCAAGCGCAAGGAUGUGGAUUAUGCACCUGGAGAUAGAGCAUACCUUCGAGUAUCACCACUUCGUGGAGUUAAGAGGUUUGGAAUCAAAGGAAAGUUAGCACCACGUUUUGUGGGACCCUACAAGAUUUUGGAACGUAGAGGAGAAGUAGCUUAUCAGCUAGAACUACCAGAAGCUCUAUCAGGAGUUCAGGAUGUAUUUCACGUCUCACAGUUGAAGAAGUGUCAUGCAGAAUUGGCAGAUAUUCCUUUGAGUGACACGGUUCCUUUGGAGGCAAUUCAGUUGGAGAAGGACCUCACAUAUGAAGAGAAGCCUAUCAAAAUUCUUGAUACAGCAGAGCGAGUCACCCGCACCAAGACGAUCAAGUUAUGCAAAGUUCAGUGGAGUCAUCACACCGAGGAAGAAGCCACUUGGGAACGAGAAGAAGAUUUGCGAGCGGAUCAUCCACAUCUUUUCUCUGGCUAGCUGAAUCUCGGGGUCGAGAUUCCUUUUAAGGGGGGUAGGUUUGUAACAUUCCAAAUUUUUAAUUUGGAAUGUUAUAUGGAGCAUGAGCAUUUUGUGUUAUUUGAAAGUGUUUAUAAUUGCUUUUCAUUAUUAAAGUGUUAGAAUGACAACCUAUACAAAAUUGCAAUUUGCAUAUUACUGUUUAACCAAAUAGUAGGAAUAUUAUCCCUAUAUUGCAUUUUGAGUAAUUUAAUUAUGUCAAUGCAUCUAAAUAAGUAGGUGCACACAAACUAAGUUAAGUGCGUAGUUUUUUUUUCUAGACCCCAACUAAUAAGUUUGUUGUGUGAAAUUGUUAUUUUAUGUUUCCCUUAACUUUCCUACACUUAGUGCAUUAUUAUAGUAAUCCUAAUCUAAUUAGCUCACGGGGCUUAAGCCACUCUUAUUUCCUAAGCUAGCUACGCAUACGAGCACAGCGCUACGAGUUGGACCUACAAUGCACGCAGCACCGGCCCAGGUCCUUUUCUCUUUUGUGUUUUUUUUUCAAUCUCUUCAUGACCCCGGUCGUCCUCAACCUCUCGUCAGACUCAGGCAACGAGCCAGCGCCCGCACCCCACUCGCGCCCGACCCCUCCCCUCCUCUACCUCGCCCCAAAUCCGCUCUGAACGGACCCCCCACUCUGCCCUAACUCCUACUCUUCCGUUACCCGCACUAAACCGCGCCCUAAUGGCCAUUAGAACACCGGAAACAGCCGCCAUGAAGACGACAUAAUUCCGACGACGCCCUGCAACGUUCCGACCUCCCCUGCAUCCUAUAAAAGGCCUCCUCCCCUCACAACUCUCUCCUUGCCCGAACCCCUCUCCUUCGGGAGCUUAUACCCCUACCCAUCGUCGUGAAUUGCUCACCGGAGUUGCGUGACGCUGGUGCUGUUCGUGGAAGGUUCCGGCAAGUCCGAGGUGAAGCAGACAUUCUAACUCUUCCAUCCUUCAUAUCUCGACCUUGGGCAUCAUCCUAACAUGUCGAUUCUUUGUUUUUCUAAGCCGGAGUACGCAUCUGGUCGGAGCUCCGCCCAACUCCGGCGACGCAUCACGGUCACCAGAGGACGGUUCCGAGCGCGUUUUGGUGUUCAGCAAGUUUUCCUCGACUUCCUCUACUCCGUCCACCUCUCUUUCGUUGCCGAAGACAUCCGCAUCAUCGAGCGAGAGCACCCCAAGUUUGUUGUCCAUCGCCGGCCAACUCCUCCGGUGAGGCCAGCCCUCUUUCUGUAAAAAAAAAACCGAAAUAGUAUUAGCCUAUUGAAUUCUGCCACGUUGCGACUCUUUUUCUUACCUCGCUUCUUUUCCAGAAAUUUAGCCCAACUUAGAAAAAUCACAUCUUUUAAACCACUUAUCCAAAUUUGACAAAUAAGAUAUCCCUGGACAGCUGAGGACCUCUAGUUUAUUAUAAAAAAAAUUGAAAUAUCACUUUUACGCUAAUUAAAAUUUCGUUUUGAUUUAAAUGAUAAUUUGAGUAUUUUUACUGAAUCUUUUAUUCUGUGAGUGAUAUGAAAAAGUUUUACAUAUGAAAAUUGGUUCUUGGAAUCAUACCAAUCUGCUAGAACUCAUAGAAUAUUUUUUUAGUAAGGUUUAGUUACUGUUUUAGCACAAUACAUAAUUUUGACCUCCAUUGAUUAUCGUUUAAUAAACUCGUUAAACUAAAAAAAAUCAUUGUUAAAACCAUUAGAUUUAUCCGUAGAAAACCUUUCUGGUUAGUUGUUGUCGUCAUAAAAAUUUAGAGUUAUAGGAUUAUUAAUUAGUUUAUUAACAUGAACUAUAAACCAUACAUAGGAACCGAUCAAAGUGCAUAAACUCGAAUCAUAUGGAUAUACUGGCUAGGGUUGUUUGGCAUGAAUUGUGUGUUGGAUGGUUUUUCUUGCUCACUUGUUAUGUUAAUGUUUGAUAUUGGAGUGACUUACUUAAGUACUUUGUUGUGUUAGAUUGCGACGAGUGUGAAGGCGAAUUCUACGAGGAGGUAGAACCGGGUUGCUGCGAGUCAGAAGGCAAGUUGCAACCUUGACCAUAUUUAUCCCGUGUUUAAUUUUGCAUUGACUUUCAAAGCAAGUAGUAUGCAUGUGUAGGGUUUUAUAUCGAUGUUUUUGCAAAUAUUUGCUAGUAGUAAAGCCCUAGGAUCCAAUGCUAUUUGGACUAUACGCUUAGCCAUGCUUGUAGUUGGGGGUGGACCAAAUAUUUUGAAAAUUAUAAACUUGUUCCCUUGGAACAAUGAUUUAGAAAAUAUUUUGAAAAAGAAAAACUAUAUUAUUAUUUUUUUUACUUCUACUCCCUGGACGAAAUGGUAUGACGGGAGCGUCUACAAGUGAUUGCGCCCAUCGGGGUCUUGCAGUGAAUGCGCUCGACUGGGGUCACACAGGAUUUUGGUGGGGACCGUCGUCCAGGGGAAUGAGAUCUUCCAAGUACGGUUUGAUGUAGCUUCCAGUACAGCCACAUGCUACUGUGGGCUCUGGCUUAGCUUAGUACUAACGGGAAACCCUUACCUCAGGACCGCCAUCGGAGAGGGGCUUUCAUUGCCUAAGUUGUGGGCGGCUUGGUCAGGUAUAGGGGGCUGUUACGGAAAGGCUUCGUCACAAUCUCCUCCUAGUCGUACACCCAAGUGUGUAGCGGUAAACGGGUUGGUUGUGUCAUGUGGGGAACGUGUACGACCUCUGCAGAGGGUUUAACCUAAUCGAUUAGCCGUGCCCCCGGUUACGGGCAAUUUUGAGCAACUGAAGACUUGGACUGAAGAAGAAUCUCCCCUCUCUUUUCUCAAAGCUAUUUUAUAAAGGGUUAGGUGGAAGUUAAACACAGUGGGGUGUUUUACUUCAACCUGAAGGAGAAUUUUUUUUUGUGAAUCUUGGUGCGGAUAUCCAAGUAUUCACUUAAACUCUAUGUUUUAAAAAAAUGUUUAUCAAAACUCGUUUUAUUUAUUUUGUUUAUAUUCUAGGAAAAAAAUUGGCUUUUCGCAAAUAAACCCUAGACACCAACCCAGCAUGAAUAUUUGUUAUCACUCUUGUUGCAACUUGCGAGUACAUUCAAAGUACUUACCUGUACGUGUCAUGUGCAGAUGAUGAGUGACGAGUUAGGGCUACGGAGCUACACUCAACUAGCCUUGUGGCGAUUGAUGGGCUCGGGAUUAUUAUUAUGUUAUUUGCUUCCGCUAUGUAACUCAGCCUUCAGCUAAGAGAGUUGUAAUAAAUUGAACUUUGGAUCUUCGAUGUAAUAAAAGGAUGUUUGUGCUCGAUAUUCAUAUUUGUACUGGGUAUGCUAGCU
rnacentral:lncRNA from 1 species